rnacentral:rRNA from 1 species
AGGUAUAAAUAAUAGUUAUUUAUCCGGAACAUAAAGGAAGUCUCAUUCCUCACGUUCGUAC